rnacentral:rRNA from 1 species
GAUGAACGCUAGCUACAGGCUUAACACAUGCAAGUCGCGGGGCAGCAUGGGGGUUGCUUGCAACUCCCGAUGGCGACCGGCGCACGGGUGAGUAACGCGUAUCCAACCUGCCCUUCACCACGGGAUAACCCGGCGAAAGUCGGACUAAUACCGUAUGUUGUCCAUUGACGGCAUCCGAUUUGGACGAAAGGCUUUGCGGUGAAGGAUGGGGAUGCGUCCGAUUAGCCAGACGGCGGGGUAACGGCCCACCGUGGCUACGAUCGGUAGGGGUUCUGAGAGGAAGGUCCCCCACACUGGAACUGAGACACGGUCCAGACUCCUACGGGAGGCAGCAGUGAGGAAUAUUGAUCAAUGGGCGUAAGCCUGAACCAGCCAAGUAGCGUGCAGGAUGACGGCCCUAUGGGUUGUAAACUGCUUUUAUGCGGGGAUAAAGUGGCCCACGUGUGGGCUUUUGCAGGUACCGCAUGAAUAAGGACCGGCUAAUUCCGUG